GCCAGCUGUGUACUCUUUGAUGCUCGCUGCAGGCGGAAACAUGGAACAAAAUCCCUCCGGCGAGGCGGAUGGAGAAAGCAACAGCGCUUGUCUCUAAAUAGUUCGGUUGCUACACUAUAGGCAGUUAAAGACACUGACCUUCUCAGAUGGAAAGCUGACAACUAGGGUUUGAAACCCGAAUGUCGGGUGAAAAGGUGAGUUCCUGUUCUUGCUCCAGCUCCUAUGCACCAACUAUGAGUAGAUAAAUAGGUACCACUUUGGUGGGAAGAUAACAGUAUUAUGUUGCCUCAGUAUAUAAUCAUGACCAAGGAAGUGUCUUUGGACAAUGCUAGCUUCCUCAAUUAAGAAAUGGAGAUGAGUAUCACCCCUUAGAGUUGGUCAUGAUUUGAUAGAGAAAACAUUUACCUUUUAAUAGCAAUAUGGAAGUACUCUCCCAUUGCCCUUCUUCUAGAAUUUUUAUUUUUUUUACUUUCUGGUCCUUAACAUGGUGGUCUUUCCUGAUAGUUCAAGUAUUAAACCAGGCCCAACAUUAGUUAGCUGUUUGCUACCAUGUGCCAGAUUUUGAAGUCCUGUUUCUUCUGCCAUUGUGAACCCCAAAAUAACAGCUGUGCGCCAGUGGUGAGUUCCGGCGUCCUGAACGCAUGCAUGAACACGCUCAGCACGCGCAUGCAUCUUACCAUUCAGCAAUGCCCCCGCGAGCCUCUGCAAUGCUCCACCUGCUCAGCGGAGUGUUGUGCAGGCGCUAUACGUGCCAUGCGCGGAAGCACUGAAGAGUUUAAAGACAGAUAUGCCUUCCAUCAUCUCAAGCUAUCAGAUCCUGCUUUAUAGACCAGUAAGUAAUAUAGUAUCAAUUAAAACUGUGAUUUUAAUCUUUGAACUUCUACAACCAGGUGGAGUCUUCUUGUGCAGAACGAAGCAUUCUAAACUUCCCUUUUUGUUUAGAAAGUAGUAAGAAACAAGAAUCAUUCUAUGCAACUGAACAUAUUUUGCCCAUUGUGCUAGCUAAAAUCAACAGAAACUUAAUUCCUCCCAUCAUAACUGCUCCAAUACAUAGGAAAUGCUAUAAGUUUCUUACUCUAUGAUACUUUCAUAAACACUCCCUUCCACACCAAAAAAAAACAUGGAAAAUUGGAAUUGGUGAAUCACUUCUUUCUCACUUCUCAAAUUGUUCAAGGCUUCUUUAGAUGCACUUCCGUGACAUUUGCUAUCUUUAGAUGUUAUUUAGGGUUUCUUUAGAUGCUCUUCUGUGACAUAUUUCAUGAACAAUGAAAUAAUAAUAAUAGUGUCCUUUUUCAGAAACCCACUAAUUGUAAAAGAAACCCUAUAUGUUGAAAUAUGGCAAACUUGAUCGAUUAAGAAUGAACAAUCAUUAUAGAUGUUUUUCCAUUUGUCAAAAUAUAGAUCGGUUAUUAUCAAUUUUAUGGGGGGGAAAUGAAUUCCAAGACUACAACCACUCACUUAUAUAAAAUGUAUCAGCCUUCAUAUUAUCCCAAAGAGAUUCCUACACAUUCCCUCAAUGCAGCAGUUGAAUGUAACACAUCAGAAUCGUUAUUACCAAAGAAGAUCAAUGGGAAACAUAAUGUUUUGUAUUUCUGGAUUGUCAUUUACUGUUGAUAAAGCUCAUUUGGCAUUUUCAGUGAUCUCCAAAUUGGGCACAGUUCCCAAUUUCUACUGAUGUACAUUAUAAAAAUUGUAUUAAAAAUAUCCCCUAUGUUCAAGUUUCCUUUUUCUGCAAGUUUUGUAACAUUCCCUAAAGCUGUUUUUGUUUUUGCUUGGUAAUUAUUACAGAUUCAAGAAGAAUGUGGAUUUCAUAAAUUAUAAUGAAAACUAGAGUUUGGACUGCUUUAAACAAUUUCUCCAGUGUUUAAGACCUAUUGGUUCCCAAAUAGUUUACUUCUCAUGAAAUUAAUUGUCAUAAGCAUGAGACAGUUUACCCAAUUAAUGUUUACAUGUUUGAAAACUAUGUGGCAUAUUAGAAGAUUGUAGCAAAACAGUUUGACAUGGAAUUGGUUUUCAGUUAUGUUGUGAACUAAUUUCAAUGUCAAACUGUUAUUGCCACAUUUCUGUGAUUAUCUUUAGAGAACACUGUCGGUGACAUAUAAUCUGUGGGCUGAAGUAAUAUUUUUAAAAGCAGACUUUCUUGUAUGACUUGAAAAGCAUAGUACAAAUAAGGGAGUCUGCGGCCUUCAGUUGCAUCUCAGCCUUUUCAAGGUGUCCGAAGUUGUUGGGAAUUAAACUUUAUACUUCACCUUAUCAUAAGAGUAAAUCCCAACCCUGAGCAAAUAAGACUGCAAGUAGAGGACAGAUGGGCAGAGACCCCACAAUGGUAUUACAGUUUAUGUGGUGCUAAUCUGAAAAUAAAUGCAUUAAUUAAGCCACAGUGAUAUUUUCUCCUCAACAUGUUUGACAUGUCUGUCGAAUAUUAUUUUUUAAAAAAUAACUCCACAUAGUGUGUUAAUAGAUUGGUCAAUUUAAAGAGACAGAAUAAAUUUUGAACAUCCAUUUAUUUCAUUUAAGACAAAACAGAACUCAAAUUUACUGAAAGUCUACCAAGAUGCUUUUCUGAGGGUUUCCUGUAGCUCAGCACUGGAAACCUAUCUUGAAUUUCAGUGUACAGAUAAUAUCCUAUUAAGUUGUUCAGCUUUCAAAAUGGAUGUGAAAGAAGCAAUGUGUCAGGGCUGUCUUGUUUAAUUAAUUCUGAUGACAAAAAAGGCACAAAUGAACACUGCCAAAUCAUCCUAUGAUGAACAAUUUCCUUUUCUUAAUUCCUAUAGGACAAUAAAUGCUGAAAGAUUCAAAAGACAAAUUGAGACACUCCACAUUUUAUUUUGAUUAAAUAUGAUAAAGGUUCCUUGAUAAUCUGAAAUCAUAAGUGUCUCUUCAUAAAAAUUGAUGAAGUGCUGAUUAAUAUCUUAACAUACAAUCUGUUUAAAUCUGUUUAUAAUCAACAUGUGUUUUUUUCUGGGGGAUAAUGCUUUUACAACAUUUAAAAUUGCGUACUCUUGGUAAAAAUAUAAAACUUUUUUUGAUUUUAAGAUUUACUUUUCUCUUUGUAAUGUGGCUGUAUGAACACAGAUUAGACAAUGAAACCCCAACAUUUUGAAAUAAGUGGCCUUAUUUGGAAUUUUAAAACCAUGUGUUGCACGCAUUCAGGUAAGCAUGGAGUAUUUACUGCAUUGAUGAAGCUAAAGGAAAGGUAAGUGCCCCCCAAAGCAAAACAGACACAUUCCAAAUGACACUUUUGUGCAUGUUUAACACAAUGCAAAUCAUUACUCUGGGACUCCACAAUUACAGUUUAAAAUGUUGAUAAGUCUUUAAUAAAGAACUCUAUUUGUAUAAUCUGGAAUAACUAUAGAUCUGGAAAAUU